CCGGGCUGGCGGCGGGCGGGGACUGCGGAGGAGGCAGCUUGCGCCGGGGCUGGGGCCUGCUUCGGGGGACUAGCGGCCCGGGAGGUAUGGAGGUGCCGCUCCGGGGGGGGCGAAAGAAACGUGGAAAGGUCGCCCAGGAGGGAGCCUGUCCCCCAGGGUUUCCAGGGGCAACGGUGGCCCGUGUCCCUGGAGGACAUGCGCCAGGGCAGCAGGGAGUGGUCCCCGCAGGCUCCCAGGCUGGGGCCGGCCGCCUUCUGGGGCGCUCAGACCUGUCUGCUGCAGUUUGCAAACAGUACGCCCGAAUUCUUUUCAUUGUAAAAAAUUUCUAUUAAAAAUAACUCGUAAAGCCUAUCAUCUCUUUUAAAUAAAGGGGAAGAAAGAG
ensembl:lncRNA ANKH-DT ANKH divergent transcript